rnacentral:rRNA from 1 species
GAUCCUGGCUCAGGAUGAACGCUGGCGGCGUGCCUAACACAUGCAAGUCGAACGAAGCACAGCGGACGGACCAAAGAGUUUACUCAGAGGGAAGACUGCUGUGACUGAGUGGCGGACGGGUGAGUAACGCGUGGGUAACCUGCCCUGUACCGGGGGAUAACAGUUAGAAAUGACUGCUAAUACCGCAUAAGCGCACAGUACCGCAUGGUACGGUGUGAAAAACUCCGGUGGUACAGGAUGGACCCGCG